rnacentral:rRNA from 1 species
UACAGAGGGUGCGAGCGUUGUCCGGAAUCACUGGGCGUAAAGGGCGCGUAGGCGGCUUGAUAAGGUUGCGGUGAAAGCCCGGGGCUCAACCCCGGGGUCGGCCGUGGCAACUGUCGAGCUGGAGCACUGUAGAGGCAGGUGGAAUUCCGGGUGUAGCGGUGGAAUGCGUAGAGAUCCGGAAGAACACCGGUGGCGAAGGCGGCCUGCUGGGCAGUGCUGACGCUGAGGCGCGACAGCGUGGGGAGCAACAGGAUUAGAAACCCCGGGUAGG